rnacentral:rRNA from 1 species
UACAGAGGUCCCAAGCGUUGUUCGGAUUCACUGGGCGUAAAGGGUGCGUAGGCGGCGGGGUAAGUUUGAUGUGAAAGCUCCGAGCUUAACUCGGAAAUGGCAUUGAAUACUAUCUUGCUCGAGGUUUGGAGGGGGGACUGGAAUUCUCGGUGUAGCAGUGAAAUGCGUAGAUAUCGAGAGGAACACCAGUGGCGAAGGCGAGUCCCUGGACAACACCUGACACUAAGGCACGAAAGCUAGGGGAGCAAACAGG